GAAGAGAAGGAAAAAAAAAAAAAAAGCAUCAUGCAUGUGAGGGAGGGACGUUGUCUGCCUCUGUCUGGGGCAUCAGAAGUCCUUUUUUUUUUUUUUUUUUU
rnacentral:ribozyme from 1 species